rnacentral:rRNA from 1 species
GCGGCGUGCCUAAUACAUGCAAGUCGUGCGGCAGCGAGCCCUUCGGGGUGUCGGCGAGCGGCGGACGGCUGAGUAACACGUAGGAACAUACCCCAAAGUGAGGGAUAACUGCUCGAAAGAGUAGCUAAUACCGCAUGUGGUCUAAGGAUUAAAGCUUCGGCGCCUUGGGAAUGGCCUGCGUUCGAUUAGCUAGUUGGUGGGGUAACGGCCCACCAAGGCGACGAUCCGUAGCUGGUCUGAGAGGAUGAUCAGCGACACUGGGACUGAGACACGGCCCAGACUCCUACGGGGGGCAGCAGUGGGGAAUAUUGGACAAUGGGCGCAAGCCUGAUCCAGCCAUGCGGCGUGAGUGAUGAAGGCCAUAGGGUUGUAAAGCUCGUUCGACGGGGACGAUAAUGACGGUACCCGUAGAAGAAGCCCCGGCUAACUUCGUGCCAGCCGCCGCGGUAA